rnacentral:rRNA from 1 species
GAUGAACGCUGGCGGCGUGCCUAACACAUGCAAGUCGAACGGGGUAAUUUCUUCGGAGGUUACUUAGUGGCGAACGGGUGAGUAACGCGUGAGAAACCUGCCUUUCAGUGGGGGACAACAGUUGGAAACGACUGCUAAUACCGCAUAAUGUUAUUUGGGGGCAUCCUUGAAUAACCAAAGCUUUAUGUGCUGAAAGAUGGUCUCGCGUCUGAUUAGCUAGUUGGUGAGGUAACGGCUCACCAAGGCGACGAUCAGUAGCCGGUCUGAGAGGCUCAACGGCCACAUUGGGACUGAGAUACGGCCCAGACUCCUACGGGAGGCAGCAGUCGGGAAUAUUGCACAAUGGAGGAAACUCUGAUGCAGUGACGCCGCGUAUAGGAAGAAGGCCCUCUGGGUUGUAAACUAUUGUCGAAGGGGAAGAAACAAGACAGUACCCUUGGAGGAAGCUCCGGCUAACUACGUG